rfam:Cavia porcellus supercont2_12 genomic scaffold, whole genome shotgun sequence.
AUACACACACAUACAUAUAAAAAAAUGGAACAAUACAAAGAAGAUUAGCAUGGCCCUUACGCAGGGAGGACAUGCAAAUUUGUGAAGUAUUCCACAUUUUA